rnacentral:rRNA from 1 species
AGAGUUUGAUCAUGGCUCAGGAUGAACGCUGGCGGCGUGCCUAAUACAUGCAAGUCGAGCGGUAAGGCCCUUCGGGGUACACGAGCGGCGGACGGCUGAGUAACGCGUAGGAACAUACCCCAAACUGAGGGAUAACUGCCCGAAAGGGUAGCUAAUACCGCAUGUGAUCUUCGGAUUAAAGCUUCGGCGGUUUGGGAAUGGCCUGCGUAUGAUUAGCUUGUUGGUGAGGUAAAAGCUCACCAGGGCGACGAUCAUUAGCUGGUCUGAGAGGAUGAUCAGCCAGACUGGGACUGAGACACGGCCCAGACUCCUACGGGAGGCAGCAGUAGGGAAUUUUCCACAAUGGGCGAAAGCCUGAUGGAGCAACGCCGCGUGCAGGAUGAAUGUCUUCGGAUUGUAAACUGCUUUUCUCUGUGACGAUUAUGACGGUAACAGAGGAAUAAGGGUCUGCUAACUACGUGCCAGCAGCCGCGGUCAUACGUGGGACCCAAGCGUUAUCCGGAAUUACUGGGCGUAAAGAGUUGCGUAGGUGGCAGAGUAAGUUGGUAGUGAAAUCCUGGGGCUCAACCCUUUAAACAUUAUCAAAACUGCUCAGCUAGAAGAUGAGAGGGGUCACUGGAAUUACUAGUGUAGGAGUGAAAUCCGUAGAUAUUAGUAGGAACACCGAUGGCGUAGGCAGGUGACUGGCUCAUUCUUGACACUAAGGCACGAAAGCGUGGGGAGUGAACUGGAUUAGAUACCCUAGUAGUCC